rnacentral:rRNA from 1 species
UACAGAGGUGCCGAGCGUUAGGCGGAAUCACUGGGCUUAAAGCGUGUGUAGGCGGACUUCUAAGUACCUUGUGAAAUCCCACGGCUUACCCGUGGAACUGCUGGGUAUACUGGUCGUCUUGAGCCACCUAGGGGCCAGCGGAACAAAUGGUGGAGCGGUGAAAUGCGUAGAUAUCAUUUGGAACGCCAACGGUGAAAACAGCUGGCUGGGGGUGUGCUGACGCUGAGACACGAAAGCCAGGGGAGCGAACGGG